CAAGCAUGGACGGCGUCUUGAAGGAGCCCUGCCGCGUGCAGUGAUGAAUGCCUUCGGGUUGUAAACUGCUUUUAUCUGUGACGAAUAUGACGGUAGCAGAUGAAUAAGGACCGGCUAACUCCGUGCCAGCAGCCGCGGUAAUUAA
rnacentral:rRNA from 1 species